rnacentral:rRNA from 1 species
UACGUAGGGUGCAAGCGUUGUCCGGAAUUAUUGGGCGUAAAGAGCGUGUAGGCGGCCCGAUUAGCCCGCUGUGAAAGUCCAAGGGCUCAACCCUGGAAUGCCGGUGGAUACUGUCGGGCUAGAGUCCGGAAGGGGCGAGUGGAAUUCCUGGUGUAGCGGUGAAAUGCGCAGAUAUCAGGAGGAACACCAAUGGCGAAGGCGGCUCUGGCCGUUAAC